GGGUGAGGAACACGUAGGAACCUGCCCACAGGCGGGGGACAACCAUGGGAAACCGUGGCUAAUACCGCAUAUAACCGAGAGGUGAAAGCUGCCCGCAAGGGUGGCACCUGUGGAGGGGCCUGCGUCCGAUUAGCUAGCUGGUGAGGUAAUGGCUCACCAGGGCGAUGAUCGGUAACUGGUCUGAGAGGACGGCCAGUCACACUGGGACUGAGACACGGCCCAGACUCCUACGGGAGGCAGCAGUGGGGAAUACUGGACAAUGGGGGCAACCCUGAUCCAGCGAUGCCGCGUGAGUGAAGAAGGCCCUCGGGUCGUAAGCUCUUUGGGCCGGGAAGAAGCUGAUGUGGUGAAUAGCCAUGUUGGUUGACGGUACCGGCAGAACAAGCACCGGCAAACCCUGUGCCAGCAGCCGCGGUAAUACAGGGGGUGCGAGCGUUAAUCGGAAUUACUGGGUGUAAAGGGCGCGCAGGCGGCGGGGUGAGUGCGAUGUGAAAGCCCCGGGCUUAACCUGGGAAGUGCAUUGCAUACUGUCCUGCUGGAGUACAUGAGAGGGUGGCGGAAUUUCCGGUGUAGCGGUGAAACGCGUAGAGAUCGGAAGGAACGUCAAUGGCGAAGGCAGCCACCUGGCAUGAUACUGACGCUGAGGCGCGAAAGCGUGGGGAGCGAACAGGAUUAGAUACCCUGGUAGUCCACGCCGUAAACGAUGAGGACUGGAUGUUGUCAGGGGAACCUGGCAGUAUCGAAGCUAACGCGAUAAGUCUUCCACCUGGGAAGUACGGCCGCAAGGUUGAAACUCAAAUGAAUUGACGGGGGCCCGCACAAGCGGUGGAGCAUGUGGUUUAAUUCGAUGCAACGCGAAGAACCUUACCUGCCCUUGACAUCCCGCGAACCCGGGAGAG
rnacentral:rRNA from 1 species